AGAUUCUGCAGUCUAACAUAAGAUUAGGGGAUGCUCAUCUAAACAAGAAGGAUCCCUCGAUGGUUUUAGCCAGGUGGGUGGAACUUCAGCAAUCUGUAAAUGUGCUCUUUACCAGUAACACUUCUGGUUGCCAUUGAAAAUCUUUCCACAUAACAAGCAGAAGUGGAGGUUGAGGUUCGAGGUCCUCCAGUUUCAAAAUUGUUUGAUCAUGAAGGAAAUCCAACAAAGGCCAUUGAAGGAUUUUCCCGUAGAUAUUCUGUUCCACUGGACUUGGUAUACUGAAAGGUUGAUGGAAAAACAGAAUAUGUUUAUGCUCGUGUGAAGGAGCUUUCAAGAUAUUCUUUAGAGGUUCUGUCUGAAGAUUUGCCUGCUACUAUUUCUAAAAUAUCAUUUCCAAAGACGAUGAAAUGCAAUUCCCAGGUAUGUGGGAUUUGAGGCAGAUGAAGAACCAGAAAUCUCCCAAAUACGAUCUUCCGUUGAACAAGAUAUUUAAAGAACAAGAUUUUUUUUCUCAUCUAUGAGAAGGUUAAUAAUUUUUAUUAGAAGAUACUUAUGUAGGAUACAAUAUUUUGGUUUUUUAUAGUUUAUUAGUAGUAAAUUCUAAGUGGUGUAAUGUAUAUUUUGAUAUGGGUAUGUUUAAUUUAGUGUGAGAUGUAUGAAUACUCAUUUAUGAUCAUCCCAAUAUUUUUAGUUCAUUAUAAAUAUAUUUUGUUAAAGGAUAAUUUUUA